rnacentral:lncRNA from 1 species
UAAUCCUAUGACUCACCCAAGGUCAUAUAGUUGGUAAUUAAUAGAAUCAGAGCUUGAACCUAGGUCUUUUGGCUUCAAGACCAGCCCUUUUUUCCACUCCUUCUAGACAAGUCCUUCCUGUUCUACUGAAGAUAUAAUAGUUGUAUUUGUAUUCUCUCUUUCUCCAGGUCAAGGCUUAUAAGGAAGGAAAACCACACCCCCCAAAAGACUGCAAUUCAAAGUCUGACACAGACAUGGAUUUUAGAUGUUUCCCAGGCUGUCUGUAUCCAGCAGGAGAGACCC